rnacentral:rRNA from 1 species
GAUGAACGCUGGCGGCGUGCCUAAUACAUGCAAGUCGAGCGAAUGGAUUAAGAGCUUGCUCUUAUGAAGUUAGCGGCGGACGGGUGAGUAACACGUGGGUAACCUGCCCAUAAGACUAGGAUAACUCCGGGAACCCGGGGCUAAUACCGGAUAACAUUUUGAACCGCAUGGUUCGAAAUGGAAAGGCGGCUUCGGCUGUCACUUAUGGAUGGAGCCGCGUCGCAUUAGCUAGUUGGUGAGGUAACGGCUCACCAAGGCAACGAUGCGUAGCCGACCUGAGAGGGUGAUCGGCCACACUGGGACUGAGACACGGCCCAGACUCCUACGGGAGGCAGCAGUAGGGAAUCUUCCGCAAUGGACGAAAGUCUGACGGAGCAACGCCGCGUGAGUGAUGAAGGCUUUCGGGUCGUAAAACUCUGUUGUUAGGGAAGAACAAGUGCUAGUUGAAUAAGCUGGCACCUUGACGGUACCUAACCAGAAAGCCACGGCUAACUACGUGCCAGCCGCCCGGUAA